rfam:Solanum lycopersicum cultivar Heinz 1706 chromosome 3, whole genome shotgun sequence.
AUUGCAAGUGAUGAUAAAACAGACAGGGACAUCAGAAUCCAUAGGGUUGUGAUGAUUUGUCGUUGGGAAUCUCUCUGAUGCACA